AACGAACGCUGGCGGCAUGCCUUACACAUGCAAGUCGAACGGUAACAGGUCUUCGGAUGCUGACGGGUGGCGAACGGGUGAGUAAUACAUCGGAACGUGCCCGAGAGUGGGGGAUAACGAGGCGAAAGCUUUGCUAAUACCGCAUACGAUCUCAGGAUGAAAGCAGGGGACCGCAAGGCCUUGCGCUCACGGAGCGGCCGAUGGCAGAUUAGGUAGUUGGUGGGAUAAAAGCUUACCAAGCCGACGAUCUGUAGCUGGUCUGAGAGGACGACCAGCCACACUGGGACUGAGACACGGCCCAGACUCCUACGGGAGGCAGCAGUGGUGAAUUUUGGACAAUGGGCGCAAGCCUGAUCCAGCCAUGCCGAGUGCAGGAUGAAGGCCUUCGGGUUGUAAACUGCUUUUGUACGGAACGAAAAGACUUCUUCUAAUAAAGGGGGUCCAUGACGGUACCGUAAGAAUAAGCACCGGCUAACUACGUGCCAGCCGCCGCGGUAACAC
rnacentral:rRNA from 1 species